rnacentral:rRNA from 1 species
ACGAACGCUGGCGGCAUGCCUAACACAUGCAAGUCGAACGAGAUCUUCGGAUCUAGUGGCGCACGGGUGCGUAACGCGUGGGAAUCUGCCCUUGGGUUCGGAAUAACAGUUGGAAACGACUGCUAAUACCGGAUGAUGACGUAAGUCCAAAGAUUUAUCGCCCAAGGAUGAGCCCGCGUAGGAUUAGCUAGUUGGUGAGGUAAAGGCUCACCAAGGCGACGAUCCUUAGCUGGUCUGAGAGGAUGAUCAGCCACACUGGGACUGAGACACGGCCCAGACUCCUACGGGAGGCAGCAGUGGGGAAUAUUGGACGAUGGGCGAAAGCCUGAUCCAGCAAUGCCGCGUGAGUGAUGAAGGCCUUAGGGUUGUAAAGCUCUUUUACCCGAGAUGAUAAUGACAGUAUCGGGAGAAGAAGCUCCGGCUAACUCCGU